rnacentral:rRNA from 1 species
AUGAGUAGGGCGGGACACGUGGUAUCCUGUCUGAAUAUGGGGGGACCAUCCUCCAAGGCUAAAUACUCCUGACUGACCGAUAGUGAACCAGUACCGUGAGGGAAAGGCGAAAAGAACCCCGGCGAGGGGAGUGAAAAAGAACCUGAAACCGUGUACGUACAAGCAGUGGGAGCACAGGUUUACCUGUGUGACUGCGUACCUUUUGUAUAAUGGGUCAGCGACUUAUAUUCUGUAGCAAGGUUAACCGUAUAGGGGAGCCGGAGGGAAACCGAGUCUUAAUUGGGCGUUAAGUUGCAGGGUAUAGACCCGAAACCCGGUGAUCUAGCCAUGGGCAGGUUGAAGGUUGGGUAACACUAACUGGAGGACCGAACCGACUAAUGUUGAAAAAUUAGCGGAUGACCUGUGGCUGGGGGUGAAAGGCCAAUCAAACCGGGAGAUAGCUGGUUCUCCCCGAAAGCUAUUUAGGUAGCGCCUCGUGAAUUCAUCUCCGGGGGUAGAGCACUGUUUCGGCUAGGGGGCCAUCCCGGCUUACCAACCCGAUGCAAACUGCGAAUACCGGAGAAUGUUAUCACGGGAGACACACGGCGGGUGCUAACGUCCGUCGUGAAGAGGGAAACAACCCAGACCGCCAGCUAAGGUCCCAAAGUCAUGGUUAAGUGGGAAACGAUGUGGGAAGGCCCAGACAGCCAGGAUGUUGGCUUAGAAGCAGCCAUCAUUUAAAGAAAGCGUAAUAGCUCACUGGUCGAGUCGGCCUGCGCGGAAGAUGUAACGGGGCUAAACCAUGCACCGAAGCUGCGGCAGCGACGCUUAUGCGUUGUUGGGUAGGGGAGCG